UACGGGGGGGGGCAAGCGUUGUUCGGAAUUACUGGGCGUAAAGGGCUCGUAGGUGGCCAACUAAGUCAAACGUGAAAUCCCUCGGCUUAACCGGGGAACUGCGUUUGAUACUGGAUGGCUUGAGUUUGGGAGAGGGAUGCGGAAUUCCAGGUGUAGCGGUGAAAUGCGUAGAUAUCUGGAGGAACACCGGUGGCGAAGGCGGCAUCCUGGACCAAUACUGACGCUGAGGAGCGAAAAGCUAGGGGAGCAAACGGGG
rnacentral:rRNA from 1 species